UUGGCAUCUGAUAUCGACAAUGCAGUAGUAGUUGAUCGAUUUUUUGACAAAUCAAAUUGGUGCAUUGUUCUUCAGAGAACUUCGUGACAAAUCAAUCUUGUGUUGCAGCUGACCAACAUUCCAAUUGAAGCUCCUAUGGAUGACAAUUGAUAGUUGUUGUCUUGGAAGCAAGCUAUGCAGACUUUCUUGAAGAUGCGCAUUGUAGCAGUGGAAAGAGAAUAUACCAAGGACUUAAUCAUUGCACUUGUAGUAGCGAUACAUUUCUGUAUUAUUUGAAAUAUGUGAAGAAAGUUUUGCAUUUCUUUCUGUGCCUGGGUUUCAGGUGAAAAGGGAACAUGAUCUUAAUCUUGGGGAAACCUGUGGUGCAACUGAGGUACCGUGCCACAAUUGCAUCAAACCGUUGGAUGCCAGUGGAGUCUACUAAUCCAAGUGCAUCCAACGGCUGGAUGCAACUGUGGCACGGUACCACAGUUGCACCGUAGCCUGAUCCCUUAAUCUUUAUCUGAAUAUCUUCUGUUCUAACCAGUUUUUUUGGAAAUUUUAUGGAGGAAUUUUGUUUGUGCAAUCAUUUAUUUGAAGAGUAUCUACCUUCUCUC
rnacentral:lncRNA from 1 species